rnacentral:rRNA from 1 species
GAGUAAUGUCUGGGAAACUGCCUGAUAGAGGGGGAUAACUACUGGAAACGGUGGCUAAUACCGCAUAAUGUCUACGGACCAAAGCAGGGGCUCUUCGGACCUUGCACUAUCGGAUGAACCCAUAUGGGAUUAGCUAGUAGGUGGGGUAAAGGCUCACCUAGGCGACGAUCUCUAGCUGGUCUGAGAGGAUGAUCAGCCACACUGGGACUGAGACACGGCCCAGACUCCUACGGGAGGCAGCAUG